rnacentral:rRNA from 1 species
UACGUAGGGCGCAAGCGUUGUCCGGAAUUAUUGGGCGUAAAGAGCUCGUAGGCGGUCUGUCGCGUCCGUUGUGAAAACUCGAGGCUCAACCUCGGGCUUGCAGUGGAUACGGGCAGACUAGAGUGCGGUAGGGGAGACUGGAAUUCCUGGUGUAGCGGUGGAAUGCGCAGAUAUCAGGAAGAACACCUAUGGCGAAGGCAGCUCUCUGGGACGGUCCUGACGCUGAGACGCGAAAGCGUGGGGAGCGAACAGG